rnacentral:rRNA from 1 species
UGGUGGACGAUGUGGCGAACGGGUGAUUUUNUAUUCUAUCGUGCCCNUCGUGGGGGAUAACGUUCCGAAAGCUAGGCUAUUACCGCAUGACGAUCUAUGGAUGAAUGNGGGGGAUCGUAAGANCUCGCGCGUUUGGAUGCGCCGACUAUCAGGAUAUGUAGUCAGGUGGGGUAAAGGCCUACCAAGCCGUANGAUCUGUACCUGGUCUGAGAAGGACGACCUAGACNCAUCGACUGGGUAUCUGACGACACGGCCCGAGAACUCCUAACGGGAGGGCAGCAGUGGUGGAAUUUUGGACAAUGGGCGCAUGUCCUGAUCCAGCAAUGCCGUCGUGCAGGAUGAAGGCCUUCGGGUUGUAAACUGCUUUUGUACGGAACGAACNCGGUCCUCUCUAAUACAGAGGGUUAUUGACGGUACCGUUAGAAUUUAGCACCGGCUAUCUACGUGCCACAGCCGCGGUAAUUCUAGGUGCGAGCGUUUAUCUGGAUUACUGGGCUGUGAAACGCGUGCCGCAGGCGGGUUUGUCNCGACGGAUGUGGACUUCCCCGGGCCUCAAGCCUGGGGACCUGGUUUUGUGGACUGGGAAGGUUGGNNUACGGU